ACAAGAGAGGCAGUAUGUCUUGAUCUGUCUCUUUAAAAUAAGUUGAUUGGCUUCUGCAGCUGUGAAACUGGAGAACACAAACUCGACAGCUGCGAGGAAAUGGAAAUGCAGCUCGUAAUAAAGCAGAUUACACCUCCCUCGAAAUAAACAGUGAAGUGACCAACGGACCAGUCCCACCGAGCGCCUGGACUCUGAGCUAUGAGGGUUUCGACAAGCUUGGCCCUUCCGCUGCUGUUGCUCUGCUGCGUCUCCUUUCUCGUCAGCGGCAAUGAAGAGCUGAAACUGAUCCACAGCCUAAUGAAGAAUUACAAUAAGAAAAUCCGCCCAGUGAAUACCACAGGGGACACUUUGGAUGUUCAGAUCAAACUGACCCUCACUAAUCUCAUCUCGUUGAAUGAAAAGGAGGAGACCCUGACGACCAGCGUAUGGCUUGGGAUUCAAUGGAGAGACUAUCGUCUCAAGUGGAAUUCUUCUGAAUAUGGAGGCAUUGAAGUGAUUCGAAUUCCUUACAGCCUGGUGUGGUUACCGGAUAUAGUCCUUGAAAACAACAUCGAUGGGAAGUUCGAUGUGGCAUAUUAUGCCAAUGUGUUGGUGUCCCCAGAUGGAAGUAUUACCUGGCUGCCCCCUGCCAUCUAUAGAAGCACAUGCUCAGUGGAAGUGACUUAUUUUCCUUUUGAUUGGCAGAACUGCACCCUCAUAUUCAGGUCUCAAACCUAUAGUGCAAGUGAGAUCAACCUCAUACUGGCAACUGAAGAGGACACGUUGAUUGAGUGGGUGUCAAUUGACCCUGCGGCUUUCACAGAAAAUGGGGAAUGGACCAUCCGUCAUCGGCCAGCAAAGAAAGUCAUCGACCAGAGGUUCACCCCUGAUGACAUGGAGUACCAGGGGAUUCACUUUUAUUUAAUCAUUCAGCGGAAGCCCCUCUUCUACAUCAUUAAUAUCAUUGUACCAUGCGUACUCAUCUCAUCACUGGUCGUGUUGGCGUACUUCCUCCCAGCUCAAGCUGGAGGUCAGAAGAUCACGGUGUCUAUCUCAGUGCUGCUUGCUCAGACUGUCUUCCUCUUCCUGAUUGCUCAGAAGGUUCCAGAGACCUCCCUUGCUAUUCCUCUCAUUGGAAAGUACCUGCUAUUUGUCAUGUGUGUGGCAACACUCAUUGUGUCCAACUGUGUGAUUGUACUCAACAUUUCCCUAAGGACCCCCAACUCUCACAGUAUGUCCCAGAAACUCAAGCAGGUAUUUUUGGAAAUCCUGCCACAUUACCUUGGAAUGAAUAUUCCAUCAUCAGAGGAGUCCAAUGAGGAGGACCAUCUGACAAGGAGGAGAAGCUCCUUUGGAAUUAUGAUAAAGGCCGAAGAGUACAUCCUUAAGCAACCACGAAGUGAGCUGGUCUUCGAGAGACAGAGAAGCCGUCACGGGCUCUCCCGUCCCUACCUGGACGCUUUUGGGGAUGGUGUAGACGUGGGAACCACAGCCAACCUCUACAAGAGCCUGGCACAAAUUGCCCCCCAUAUCAAGGAGUGUGCUGAUGCCUGCAACUUCAUUGCUGAAAGUACCAAGGAGCAGAAUGACGUUGGAUCGGAAAUGGAGAGCUGGGUCCUAAUUGGCAAAGUUAUCGACAAAGUGUGCUUCUGGGCUGCGAUUCUGCUUUUCUCCAUUGGAACGAUUGGAAUAUUCCUCAUGGGGCACUACAACACUGUCCCAGACUACCCCUUUCCAGGGGAAACGAAGAAAUACCAGUAAUAGUAGCUUUCAAGGAGAGAGAAAUCCCACAGCGACGACUUGUUCACUCUGCAGAUUAUCCCUCAGAUGUGAGCCAGAAAGUAGCAAGUUGAAAAUGGUUACUUGGCUUCUGACUGUCUAUUGGCAUGUGUCCGUGCAAUAGCUGACAAAUAAAUUAAGUUCCAGACAGCGCUGUAUUCUGAUUCCUCAUCCUGGUAGUCUCUGGACAUAAGUAAGCAUGAAGUGAUUAUACUUACACUAUGUCCUGCAGAAGAUUCCAGAUGUGAGUCAUAACUGAUAGAAUGUGUUUAGAUCCAUGUGCCACCUCUAGCCAGGUUGGACUGCAGAUUGAGUGUCACUUUUGUACUCAACAUUUUCUUUGCUAAUGAUCACUUUGUAAUUUCAAAAGACUAUCUCUAGACAUCUUGUAGUUUAUAUGAGAUAAAACUACAUGUAUAUAUAAAUAAGAUUUCUUUUUUAAUUAAAAGUUGAAUUCAAAAUUUA